rnacentral:rRNA from 1 species
CCUACGGGAGGCAGCAGUGAGGAAUAUUGGUCAAUGGACGAGAGUCUGAACCAGCCAAGUAGCGUGAAGGAUGACUGCCCUAUGGGUUGUAAACUUCUUUUAUAAAGGAAUAAAACGAGGCACGCGUGCCUUUUUGCAUGUACUUUAUGAAUAAGGAUCGGCUAACUCCGUGCCAGCAGCCGCGGUAAUACGGAGGAUCCGAGCGUUAUCCGGAUUUAUUGGGUUUAAAGGGAGCGUAGAUGGGUUGUUAAGUCAGUGGGGAAAGUUUGCGGCUCAACCGUAAAAUUGCCAUUGAUACUGGCAGUCUUGAGUACAGGUGAGGUAAGCGGAAUGCGUGGUGUAGCGGUGAAAUGCUUAGAUAUCACGCAGAACCCCGAUUGCGAAGGCAGCUUACUAACUUCUGACUGACAUUGAGGCUCGAAAGUGUGGGUAUCAAACAGGAUUAGAUACCCCAGUAGUC